rnacentral:rRNA from 1 species
GACGAACGCUGGCGGCGUGCCUAAUACAUGCAAGUCGAACGCAGUGGGGACGGGUGAGUAACACGUGGGUAACCUCCCAUCAGAGGGGAUAACACUUGGAAACAGGUUCUAAACCGAUAAUGAUGGAUGAACCCGCGGUGCAUUAGCUAGUUGGUGAGGUAACGGCUCACCAAGGCCACGAUGAAUAGCCGGCCUGCGAGGUUAAUCAGCCACUCGGGGACUGUGACCCGGCCCAGACUCCUACGGGAGGCAGCAGUAGGGAAUCUUCGUCAAUGGACGAAAGUCUGACCGAGAAACGCCGCGUGAGUGAAGAAGGUUUUCGGAUCGUAAAACACUGUUGUUAGAGAAGCGGUAUCUAACCAGAAAGCCACGGCUAACUACGUGCCAGCAGCCGCGGUAAUAC